UCGGGAAUUUUGGGCAAUGGGCGAAAGCCUGACCCAGCAACGCCGCGUGAAGGAUGAAGUAUUUCGGUAUGUAAACUUCGAAAGAAUAGGAAGAAUAAAUGACGGUACUAUUUAUAAGGUCCGGCUAACUACGUGCCAGCAGCCGCGGUAAUACGUAGGGACCAAGCGUUGUUCGGAUUUACUGGGCGUAAAGGGCGCGUAGGCGGCAAUUCAAGUCAUCUGUGAAAUCUCCGGGCUUAACUCGGAACGGUCAGAUGAUACUGCUUUGCUAGAGUGCAGAAGGGGCAAUCGGAAUUCUUGGUGUAGCGGUGAAAUGCAUAGAUAUCGUCAAGAACACCGAUAGCGAAGGCAGCUUACCAAGCUGUAACUGACACUGAGGCACGAAAGUGUGGGGAUCAAACAGGAUUAGAUACCCGGGUAGUCCCUGAGCGGGCUGGCAAGGCGCAU
rnacentral:rRNA from 1 species